CCUACGGGAGGCAGCAGUGGGGAAUAUUGCACAAUGGGCGCAAGCCUGAUGCAGCGACGCCGCGUGCGGGAUGGAGGCCUUCGGGUUGUAAACCGCUUUUGUUCAAGGGCAAGGCACGGUCUUUGGCCGUGUUGAGUGGAUUGUUCGAAUAAGCACCGGCUACCUACGUGCCAGCAGCCGCGGUAAUACGUAGGGUGCAAGCGUUAUCCGGAGUUAUUGGGCGGAAAGGGCUCGUAGGCGGUUCGUCGCGUCCGGUGUGAAAGUCCAUCGCUUAACGGUGGAUCCGCGGCGGGUACGGGCGGGCUUGAGUGCGGUAGGGGAGACUGGAAGUCCCGGUGUAACGGUGGAAUGUGUAGAUAUUAGAAGGAACACCAAUAGCGAAGGCAGGUUACUGGGACGGUUCUGACACUAAGGCACGAAAGCGUAGGGAGCAAACGGGAUUAGAUACCCCAGUAGUC
rnacentral:rRNA from 1 species